rnacentral:rRNA from 1 species
UACGUAGGGUGCAAGCGUUAAUCGGAAUUACUGGGCGUAAAGCGUGCGCAGGCGGUUCGCUAAGACCGAUGUGAAAUCCCCGGGCUUAACCUGGGAAUUGCAUUUGUGACUGCACGGCUAGAGUGUGUCAGAGGGGGGUAGAAUUCCACGUGUAGCAGUGAAAUGCGUAGAUAUGUGGAGGAAUACCGAUGGCGAAGGCAGCCCCCUGGGAUAACACUGACGCUCAUGCACGAAAGCGUGGGGAGCAAACAGG